UCUCCUGUAACUCAAACGGGCAUAGAGUCAAUGCGGCGAUGCCGUAGCGCGGGUUCGAGUCCCGCCGGGAGAG
rnacentral:tRNA from 1 species